rnacentral:tRNA from 1 species
GUUUUAAUAAUUUAACAAAAAUAUUGGUCUUGUAAGCCGAAAUUGAGGAUUUCCUUUUAAAACU